AUUGAACGCUGGCGGCAUGCCUAACACCUGCAAGUCGAACGAGUGGCGGACGGGUGAGUAAUAUCUGGGAAACUGCCCACUAGAGGGGGAUAACUACUCGAAACGGUCGCUAAUACCGCAUACUCUCGGAGCUGCCCAUAUGGGAGUAGCUAGUUGGUGGGGUAACGGCUCACCUAGGCGACGAUCCCUAGCUGGUCUGAGAGGAUGACCAGCCACACUGGGACUGAGACACGGCCCAGACGCCUACGGGAGGCAGCAGUGGGGAAUAUUGCACAAUGGGGGCAAGCCUGAUGCAGCCAUGCCGCGUGUAUGAAGAAGGCCUUCGGGUUGUAAAGUACUUUCAGCGGGGAGGCGUUAACCGCAGAAGAAGCACCGGCUAACUACGUGCCAGCCGCCGCGGUAAUUC
rnacentral:rRNA from 1 species